rnacentral:piRNA from 1 species
GCUAAACGUCUGGCUAAAAGAUGGUUACU